rnacentral:lncRNA from 1 species
AUGUGGCCUGACGUUACGCUCUCUGAGCCCAGCAGGGGGCGCCGUCUGAGCGCCGUGCGGCCGAGCUCAGGUGGAGCAGGUCGGGAGCAGCUGCCGAGGACAGGCUCCUCUCCAGAAAUGACCACGAGCAUAAGCAGGAGAGUUAGCAGCCUUCAGGUCCUGGCUGCGUGGGGGGAUUUCUCGCCUGGAGGACUUCAAAAGCUCACGAGGGCCAAAGGGAUUUACUUGGACCGGGCCGGGCCAGAGCAGCAGACGGGACAGUCUGGGCCGCUUCCACUGGGCAGAGACGGGUUUGGACCAGAGAGCAGACAGCGCUCCCAGGAUGAGGCCAAGGAACUCAUCUCUCCAAUCCAUUCAAGUCUCUCCAAAAAUAACAAUAUGUCAGAUGUUAGAAAGAUGCUUCCGAGAACAUUAAACUGGGCCGAGUGUGAGGAACCACGCAGAAUGUGUCUGCUGCUGGAGGACAGAUGGACCAACUCCAGUCACAGGCUGAGGCUCAAGGGCACGAAUAUUAAAAACCAUGCAAAAGGUAACAAACAGCAUAUUUAUUCUCA